GCCAAUCUGGGUUAUAAGGAAUCGCUGUCAUUUGGAGGCUCAGGCCAUGCGCAGGGGCAACAAGUUGUGCCAUUUGAGAGUGGCGCAUUGAAGCUUUUGCUACAUGGGUCCCUGGUUAUAUGUGUCAAUGAGGCCAAGAACCUUCCUAACAUGGAUGCGUUUCACAAGACUCUAGCAAAUAUUGUUGCCAGAUUGCCUGGGACAGGCAGCAACAAGAUCACUAGUGAUCCGUAUGUGACGGUUUCAGUUGCAGGUGCUGUGGUUGGGAGGACCUUUGUGAUUAGUAAUAGUGAGAAUCCUGUUUGGGAGCAGCAUUUUGAUGUUCUGGUUGCGCAUUAUGCUUCACAGGUGCGUUUUGUUGUGAAAGAUAGUGAUGUGGGUUCACAGCUCAUAGGUGUUGUGGCAAUCCCAGUUGAGCAGAUAUAUUCCGGCAUGAAAGUUGAGGGGACUUAUCCGAUUCUUGGUUCCAAUGGGAAGCCUUGUAAGCCUGGAGCUGCUUUGAGUUUGUCGAUUCAGUAUAUCCCUAUUGAGAAAUUGACCUUUCAUAAUAAUGGGGUAGGUUUGGAUCCUGAUCACCAAGGGGUUCCUGGCACUUACUUUCCUGUUAGGAGAGGCGGUAAGGUUACUUUAUAUCAAGAUGCUCAUGUGCCUGAUGGUUGCCUUCCGAGUAUCAAGCUUGACGACAAUGUUGAGUAUGAGCAUGGGAGUUGUUGGCAAGACAUAUUUGAUGCAAUAAGUCAGGCUCGUCAUUUGAUAUACAUUGUGGGAUGGUCAGUGUACCACAAAGUUAGGUUGCUCCGGGAUGGUAGAACAGAUUGCAUGUUAGGUGAUCUUCUUAAGAUCAAGUCGCAGGAAGGUGUGAGAGUGCUGCUUCUUGUUUGGGAGGAUCCAACUUCUACCAGCAUUAUGGGAUAUAAAACGGUAAGCCCUUAGAAGAUAUAAUAUAUUUCCUUGUGUGAUUUUCCUGCACUGUAACAUACUUUUGGUUCAAGUGUCAAUGUUAUAUUAUCUUUUCACAGAUAUGGUUGCUCUGAUUUCUGUGCUUUUGUUGAACAAUUAAGUUAUAUUUGGCCUGAUGUUGGGCUCUCAAAACGCCUUUGCAUAUCUGAUAUAUCCCUUUCUUAGAAUGUAAUGAUGAUGAUCAAUACUUUUAGCCAUGGGAAAGCAUUCCUGUAGGUUUUCAAAUGCCAUAUAUUCCAUGCUUUCUUGUUGGCUUUGUUUUUGGCAAACAUGAUAAAGGUGAAGCAGUUGGCUAAUUUUUGAUAAUGUCAUAGCAGAAGCGACCCAAAGUGAAGUGCAUACAAAUUUGAUUUUAUUUUCCAGCCUAUAUUCAUUCUCUGUCAUUCAUACUGAUCAUUUUUAUCCUCUAUGCACAAAAGCUUAUGCUUCAUUUGCCUGAUCCUGUGUUUUACUUAAAUUAAUACUCUAGAAGACUAAUAUUUUGUUUCUCCAUUGGCUAUUCAUUUAUCAUUUCAUAUUUCACUAGAUGUUGAUACUGCGUAAUAUGUAGGAUGGAAUCAUGCAAACCAAAGUUGAGGAAACUCGCCGUUUCUUCAAGCAUUCUUUAGUCCAAGUGCUACUUUGCCCUCGAUCAGCUGGAAAGGGUAGCUGGGUCAAGAAACAGGUUUGACAAAUUGUUCUUGUUUGUUUGUACCUUUUAGCUUGACGUGGUUGAAAUGUCAUUUACUUAUCUAACUACAAUACUAGAAAAUUAAAGAAAUUCAAAUCAACACAGGAGAAUCUUGAUGGUCUUGAUCUGUUCCAGGCAUAAAAGUUACUCUUAAAUUUGGAGGACUAGGAAGAGUUUUCCCUUUGAGGUCUCUUGACAUGUUGAUAGUAUUAUUCAGAAUAUCAACAUUUCAUAUGGCAGAAUUAACCUUAUUUUAUUGAUGUGAAAUGAUAUAUGCCACCGUGCAUUUUGUUUUCAUGCUAAAAUCUGCUUACAAGUUUUUCUUUUUCACUGGUCCCAGAAUUCUGAUCUGUUCUUUGAAACUAUAGGCACAUACACAAAUCUUUGAUUUAUGUUUGCAUGUGCUGUGUACUCCAGGAGAGACUCAGCGGUUGCAUAUAGUUUCUUUGUCUGUAUAGUGUAUACUUAUAUAAUUUCUGAAUAAUUCUUGCUUCGCAUCUCUUGGUUUUGUAUUUGGUUACAGGAAGUAGGAACAAUCUAUACCCACCAUCAGAAAACAGUGAUUGUUGAUGCUGAUGCAGGUCAGUUUAGAAGAAAGAUAAUUGCAUUUGUUGGGGGUCUGGAUCUGUGCCUGGGACGCUACGAUACUCCAGAGCAUCCUAUAUUUAGGACUUUACAGACAGUCCACAUGGAUGAUAAUCAUAACCCUACUUUUUCGGUAAGCAUCUUAUAUAUUUCUGCUUUGUUGUAGGAUGCUCUUGUUUAAGCCAUCUUAUGUGAUAAGACUCAUUUGUUACUGGCCAGGAAUGGUGGCUAGAAAAUGUUAUUUGUUGAACAUAAAGCAACUAAGCAUGUACCUGGUUUAAAUGCUAACCUUAACUUGUAAUUGAUUGACUUGGCUAUUCACAAAUGAGGACAUGAUCAGAUAUAUUCACAAAAAUGGAUGAUAAUAGCUCUAGGAUUUAGGGGGUUACACCGACCAUUGGCGAAUCUUUCUUAAAUAUAUCUCAUAGUUUUGUGAUUCUACAGAUCUACUUUAGUUUUGAUAUUGGUUUCGUAGCUGAUAACAAAGAUUGGGAUAACCUUGAUGAUUAGAUCUCCAUUAUGAUUAUCUAUAUUGUUUUCGUGUUUGACCUUUUAGCCCGUUUGCUUUUUAACACAAACAGGACCGUGUUGUUGGUUGUCCAAGGCAGCCAUGGCAUGAUUUGCACAGUAAAAUUGAAGGUCCAGCAGCAUACGAUAUCCUCGCCAAUUUUCAGGAGCGUUGGUUAAAAGCUUCAAACCCACGUGGGAUUCAGAAUCUAAAAGCACAUGAAGAUGCAUUACUCAAGAUUGAGAGGAUCCCUGAAAUUAUGGGGAUGGCAGAUCUUCCUCAACCGAGUGAGGAUGAUCUAGAAGCUUGGGACGCUCAGGUAUACUGGAUGACAAUCAGCUAUUUCGGAGUUGUUUAAUGAGUAUUAUAUGUAUGGUAAAGUGUUGACUGUUUCUGAACAAUUGAAGGUUUUUCGUUCAAUUGAUUCCACUUCUGUGAGAGGAUUUCCAGAAAACCCAAAAGAUGCUUCGAGCAUGGUAAGAGAAACUUUAGUUCUUAACUAAUGUGCACUAUGCUCUAAUUUCAAAUUUAUAUCAUUGAUGGUUUAUGUCUCCCUACGUGCAACAGAACCUGGUGUGUGGGAAAAAUGUUUUGAUAGACAUGAGUAUACAUGCCGCAUAUGUCAAAGCAAUCCGCACUGCUCAACAUUUCAUUUACAUAGAAAACCAGUACUUCCUUGGAUCAUCAUAUAAUUGGACCUUGUACAAUGAUUUAGGUGAGAACUCUUAACGUUAGUAGCAGGGGACUGACAAAGGAAAUAAAAGUGGUGGAAACAUGUCAGUAUUCCUGAUGUAGGAACACACAGUAUACUUUCCUUAUUUUCCAGUCUUGUAGUUGCGUUAUAUGCUGAAUGUGAUUGAAUCUCCCAGACUGACAGGACCUUUUAACGUUCUGGGAACUAAAUUAUACUGAGGCCCUAGUAGUGUAGCUUCCACCCACCUCCAAAAUGUGAAUCUCUUUAAUUUUUUAAGAAGAGAUCAAUAACAAAUCCUUGAUGACAAGAAGAUAGUCUGCGAAUGUCAUUUGCAUUAUUUGUUAGAUCCUAUCUUAUCGUCUUUCCAACUGAUUUAUCGUCAUACUGAUAAUGGUGAUAAUGCCUUUAUGUGCAGGUGCAAACAAUUUAAUACCAAUGGAAAUUGCUCUCAAAAUUGUGAAUAAAAUUAAAGCAAAUGAGAGGUUUGCUGUGUAUAUUGUUAUCCCCAUGUGGCCGGAAGGUGUUCCUACUAGCACUCCUAUUCAACGAAUUCUCUUUUGGCAGGUAAUCUAGUUACCAUAAAAUAAUGCAGGUUGUAGAUUUUAAUGAACUAUUGUUCAAUUGAGACUUUUCAGAAUUCAAAAUGUUAAACACAGAUUAUUAAUCCCUACCCUAGAAAUAGCAAGAGAUGUACACUGUUCAUAUUAAUCAGAAAUACAAGAUGUAGUCCAAAGCUCUCUGCUGCGUUUUACAUUUUCUGCUUUGCAUCUUUCAAUUUCAAUAAGCCUUGAUUCCUAUCAAUUAAAAUUUUUGAGAAUGAAUACUGUACAAAUGAAGCUCUUGGUGUCCUAGUAAAGUAUCUGCUGAUUCCAAACUUAAUUCAACUUAUCUUUAAAAAUAUCCACUUUUGGUUUCUGACAUGUUGGAAUGAUUACUGUUCAGACGUAGUGCUGUCAAACAGAAUUCAUGAGCCUAUUGCUGCUUGUUUUUCACCUGUUGUCUUGCUUUGUUACUGCAGCAUAAAACAAUGCAAAUGAUGUAUGAAAUGAUUUACAAGGCUCUACUGGAGGCUGGACUUCACAAUAGAUAUUGUCCCCAAGACUAUUUGAAUUUCUUUUGCCUCGGUAAUCGUGAGAAACCAAGUGGUGAAGAAAGUUCUUCUGCAAAAAAAUUAAAUGAAGCAAACAAAAAAGAAGCAAACACUCCUCAAGUAAGUCCCUCAUACUUAUCUCAAGUCUCCAGUAGAUAUCUUGUAUUCUCUCAUCUAGAAUCCCAUAUACUAAAAAAAAAAUUGUGCUGGUUUUGGUAACCCAGGCACUCACUCGGAAGAACCGGCGCUUUAUGAUUUAUGUUCAUUCAAAAGGAAUGAUAGUGGACGAUGAAUAUGUCAUAAUUGGAUCUGCAAAUAUCAAUCAGCGAUCCAUGGAAGGUACCCGAGAUACUGAAAUAGCAAUGGGGGCUUAUCAGCCUCAUCAUACUUGGGCAAGAAAACUCUCAAGUCCACAUGGAAAGGUAACAUGUGAAAACUGUGUGUGUGUGUCUUUGAAGCCGAUAGAACUCAUAGAAGUAUCUUGCACAUGAUGAAAUGAUAAUUCAUUCUUAGAACUCCAACCAAUAUAGACUGUUAGACGCCAGAGCAUACAAUUUUAUGGAUUGUGUACGAAAGUUAAUUGGUAACCCAUGUGUGAUUGCAGGUAUAUGGAUAUAGAAUGUCACUGUGGGCAGAGCAUAUAGGACUUGUUGAAAAAUGUUUCAAGCAGCCAGAGAGUCUUGAAUGUGUCCAAAGAGUAAGGACUUUGAGUGAGCAGAACUGGAGUCAAUACAUAGCCGAUGAAGUCACAGACAUGAAGGGUCACCUCCUGAAAUAUCCGGUUGAAGUUAGUCCAACCGGCAAGGUGGAGCCUCUUCCGGGAUGCGCAGCAUUUCCAGAUGUUGGCGGCUACAUAUUGGGGAGUUCUGACGUUCAGUUUACAGAGUUGACAGGAGAUUUUGAAACAACAGGAGAUGUUCGGUCCAUGGCUUGUAAGUUAUUAUCAGCUCUGUCUCUCUGUUUGGUGAUUUGUUGGAGGUAUCUCCAGCUAGAAUCUUUUUCUAGAAUUAUUAUUACUACACUUUCCAACAGGAAGCCUAAACUCUCAUAACUAUGUAGGAGUAAAAUGUCACAAGUAACACUUAUGACUUCUAAGUUCGAUGACACUUCACUUGUUAGCGUCAUUUAAAUCACUAUACAUUUUGGUUGUUUCCAGCACUGUGAAUACAUUUGUUGGUUGCUUGACUGUUAUUGAGAAUCCGUUUAGAUUUUGUUGUAUUUCAGUGUCCUGACCACCACCCUAAAAUCAUCCACAUCUCUUACCAGCUCCCCAGCCUGAGCCAGCUCCUGUGAAGAAUGAUGUGCUUUCAGGUUUCGGGAUGGAAGACGCUCGCAGGGGUAUUGUAGCCCAUUCAGACCAUGAAUUGGAAAGCACAGGAAUAAGUAGAACAUUCAGGGAUGAAGACCACUUUGAAAAAGGGGUAGCCCUCCCAUCUACAUCACCAGUUAUUGGGCAAAAAAAUGAUGAGUUUUUGAAUACCAGGGGAGAGGACAAUCAUAGGGGUUUUGUCACCCAUUUGGGUCACGAAACACAAAACACCGAUGAAAAUCAUCUUGAAGAAGAGAUACCUGUCCCCUCUACGUCUCCACCUUCACCAGCUGUGGGAGAUCAUCGGGUGAAGUAUGAUGUGUUUUUGAGUUUCAGGGGGGAAGAUACUCGAAAGGGUUUUAUCGCCUAUUUAUACCGUGAAUUGCAAAAAACCAGAGCGAUUAAAACUUUCAAGGAUGACGCGCAACUGAAAAAAGGGACUGUUAUUGCUUCAAAUCUCCUAAGGGCAAUCGAAGAAUCAAGGUUUGCGAUUAUUGUGUUUUCCGAGAAGUAUGCUGAUUCUGCAUGGUGUUUGGAUGAACUUACAAAGAUUUUUCAAUGCAUGGAGGGUAAGGACACAAUUCUCCCAAUUUUUUAUCAGUUGGAUCCCGCUGUUGUACGAUAUCAAAAGAAAGAGACCAGUUUUGGUGAAGCUUUCGUCAAGCAUGAAGCUAGACAAGACAUUGAGAAGACGAACCAGUGGAGAGCUGCAUUAAAAGGAGUGGCAGGAAUCUCUGGGUGGAAUUCAAACACUUUUCCGUAAGCAUAUGUUUACAAUACUUGGUACUUUCAAUUUAUUAUUUGGAUGAAGAUUAUUUUGAACCCUUCUUCCUUGUAGGACGGAGGUAGAACUAAUCGAUGACAUUGUGAAACAUUUGUUGGAAAAAGUACUUCAAGCACCCACCAGAACUUUUGGAACAUUUGAAGCGACAGGGCAAGUCAUGGAUGAGGUCAUGAAGGUGUUAAAAGAUGAUCAAGUCACUGUCCUUGGGGUGCAUGGAGUAGCUGGCGUUGGAAAGACGACUAUGGUCAAACAUGUUGGUGCACAAGCUGAGAAAGAUGGGCUUUUUGAUCGUGUGAUUAUGGUUGUCAUAUCCAAAAGCCCUGACUUGCAAGAAAUUCAAGGCACGCUAGCAGAUUCAUUGGGCCUGAAGGAGGGGAUCAAGAGAGGAGAUAGGAUGCUUAUAAUCUUGGACGACAUUUGGGAGAGUUUUGAACUCUCAGGCAUUGGAAUUCCCGGUCACCAUGAGCUUCAAAACUGUUACUCUAAAGUUGUAAUCAUCACAAGGAACAGCAACGUCUGCCAUUCUAUGGGGUGUCAUGCCCAGAUCGCUCUCAAUAUUCUAUCAGAUGAAGAUUCUUGGAAGUUACUCAAAGAGACCUCGGGGAAGUCUUUUGAUGAAUCUGCAAAUUCCUAUGAUGAAGAGAGGAAGGUAGCUCAAGAAUGCAGAGGUCUCCCAAGAGCAAUAAAAGCAGCUGCAAGGUCACUUGGAGAUAAAUACCGGGAUGAAUGGAAUGAAGCAGUUGCAAGGGAAUUUGGAGGCUUGGACGAAUGGAAUGAAGCAGCUCAAGCCUUCAACCUUGAAGCUGAGAAGGGCUCUUUUCAUUCAUUGGAGGAUACAUAUCACUCACUGGAAUCUGAUGAUGCCAAGUCAUGCUUCUUGCUAUGCUGCUUAUUCCCAGAAAAUUAUGAUAUCCCAAUUGAGAAGUUGCUCAAGUAUGGGAUUGGAAUAGGUUUGUUUCAAUAUGAUUCAAUGCAAGAAGCCAGAGAUAGAGCACAUUCUGUGGUUAAGUACCUCAAAGCUUCUAGAUUACUUCUGGAGGGUACAAAGGAGGGAUGUGUAAGGACGACCGAUGACAUUCGAAAUCUGGCAUUGUCCGAGGAAGGCGAUGGGCUUUUAGUAAAAGCUGGUUGUGAGCUAGAGGAGUGGCCAGACGCAGAGGCAGUAUGGUCGCAAGGUAUGCCAGUAAUGCCACUGCAGCCCUUUAGAUUUUAUUAUUAUUAUUUAUUUAUUUUUCCUUUUUUAACCAUCACAAAUUCUAUUUUAUUUGUGGCUAACAAUUUCGCACUCUUAGGAUUGACUUGGACCCAUUCCUGGCACUGGGAUUGUCCAAUUGAUACUCAUGAAGGCUACUCAAUAAUCUCACUAAUGAGAAACAAGCUUCACAAGCUUCCUGAAUAUUUGGUAUGUUCAAAGCUCCAAAUUUUGUUACUACAAAGUAAUGCUGGUAUAUGUGACAUUCCAGAAACCUUUCUUCAAAGUCCUAGUGCGCUAAGGGUCUUUGAUCUUAGCUUCACCAGUAUUUCGUCACUACCUCAGUCAUUCAGUUUCCUAACCAGCCUCCAAGCUUUGAAUUUGGAUUUUUGCAGCAAUUUAAGUGAGAUAUCUGUCUUAGGAAAUCUUAAGAAACUUGAGAUUCUUAGUAUGAGAGAACUUCCUCUUAAGAAUUUACCAAAACAAAUAGGAAAUUUGACCAGUCUGAGGAAGUUGGACGUCACUGGUAGAUAUCUUGAAACAAUCCCAUCUAAAGUGUUAUCGAAGUUGUGUAGAUUGGAAGAACUGCACAUGAAGUUUCAAUUUGGGAAGUGGGGAAGUAAAAUUGAGGAUGCAUCUGAAGAAACCAACGCUAACUUUGAUGAGUUGACUAGUUUGCUGGAUUUAAACAUUUUGGAAGUUUACAUAUCUGAUGCUACAUGCUUGCCUCAAAGUGUUGAGUACUUCAACCCGAAUUGGGUAGAAUUUGAUAUAUGCAUCAGCAGGGACGUGUUGCUCCCUCGAUAUGAUGGUUUUUCAAGAACCUUGACUCUUGACACAACAAUCAAUAGCUUACCGGAUUGGUUUAUCAGCGUUGUGACAGCGAAAGUGGAGCGGCUAGAGUACACAAAUUGCGAUGAUUUGAAUGACCUUGUUGGGGAAUAUGACCAUGGCAGAUUAUUUGUGCUGAAAUAUCUCUCUGUGAACGGGCACCAUAAGAACUUGAAAGAGAUAAUCAACACAAUGAGACGGGUUUCAAAUAAACCGGUAUUUGAGAACUUGGAAGAUUUGCAUCUGCACUGCUUAUAUUCCCUCGAGGAGUUGUGUGUUGGUGAGCUACCACCUGGGUCCCUACGCAAGCUCAAGUUAUUGAAAGUGCAAACAUGUCAUAGCUUGGUGAAUGCACUUUUACCAUUGACAUUGUUGCCGAGAUUACAAAAUCUGGAAAAAAUCAUUUGUGUACAUCUGGACAGAAUGAAAUAUGUUUUUGGAUCUGAUGAAGGGGGUGUUGAUUCAGAGAAGAUUUUCUUGAGGAAAUUGAGGGAGAUGAGAUUGUGUGCUCUAGAAGAACUAGUAAGAAUAUGCAACGGUCCUGCUCCGCAUGCAAUCUUCCAGAAUCUAAAAGUUUUGGCAAUCUGCGAGUGCAAGGAACUGAAAAGCCUCUUCACAAUAGACGUUGCUAAAUGUCUUUUUCAGUUGGAAGACCUUUGCAUAGAGCAGUGUCCUCGCUUGGACAGAGUCAUUGAAGCAAGCAAUAGCUUGAACAGCGAGAUUACACUUCCGGCGUUGAAGAGAUUAGCUUUGAUUGAUCUUCCGGUGCUCACAAGGUUCUGCACUGAAAGUGGUAAUAUUGAAACUCGGUGUCGGUGCCCUUCAUUGGAAUACUUGUACGUGGAGAACUGCAUCAAGUUUUCAUAUUAUGCAAACUUCCACUUCAGUAAGAAGCAAAUUCACUUCAAUGAUCAACACCAUUUGAGUUCUCUAGUGAAAAGGUACGUGUUGUCAUAAAUUUCAAACAUUUAUUUAUUUAUUUAUUUUUUUCUGUUCCUGAGUCUUUUUCUUCCUCUUCUGAGUCGUUUCUCCAGCAAUCCCAAAUGUCUUUCCAGUCAUUUAAGCAUUGUCUAAUACUCUAUUUCCAGUCAGAGAAGUGAAGUAUUGAAGUGUAAACAUUGAUGAAACACCUCCUAAUUAAAUUGGUGACUUAUUUACUUCUUUUCAUUUCAAAAUGACUUGUCAGGUGGAAGGAAAUGCAUAAUCAGCUAUAAGAGAGCUGCUGCUGCACUAGGAAAAAAGAGAUGUUCAGUAGUCCCAGAACAAGAUUACUCAGUUAGCUGUAUGAAUGCUAUUAUUAUCUCUUAGUCUUGCAUUGGCCUGCAAUCUUUAUGUUGGAAACUUUUGAUUAAGAGGGUAUUUAAAAAAGUAACUUGGGGUUUGACACAAUGACACAGCAAUUUGAACAACAGGACUCUAAACUAGAGAGAACACUACGGAAAAAAAAAAAAAAACCCAAACUAGAGCAAAGAGGGUACACCAGAAGAACAUUUCUUUUUUUUUUCUUUUUCUUUUUGAAAAGGAUAACCUAUAUUGCUUAACCAAUGACCAAAAGACAGUACAUCAAAAUGCCAUUCUCCACAGUGUUAAGGGAGGUUUACAAGCACCAAAACAUGUACUUUUACUAAUUACACAUAGGCUCAAAAGAAAAUGAUAAAAAUUUUAUUACCUAAUUCCAUAGAACAUAAUAUUAGCUGCUUAAGACCUCAAUUGAUAUAUACCUAACAAACUUAAGAAUUAAACAAAAAAAGUACAUCUGAUGCUCAGGCAUAGACGCCCGAGGCCUAAGUGAUGCCCCUACCCUUAGCAUUAGGGCGAGCCAUCAACCUAGCUGCAAAAUUAGCCUUCUUAGCUUGGAACCCAGGACCAUCAACCUAAGCCCAAUCUUGACCAGUCUUAGAUUUGAGCCCAAACCCAAGCUUGAAGACCCGGCCCGAAUCCGAGCCCAAACCUAGGUAAAAGUUAACCUCCCAACGAAGGAAAUUGACUUCGCCAACGACCACCUCCCAAGCCACCUCCCUCCUGCCCAACAAACGCCAACACCACAGCUCGAGCCGCGAACAACCUUAAUCAAUUUGGAACCCAAACUUAUCCGUUGAACCACCGCAGCCCGGCGUCCCCGUCCAUCUGCCGUCGUUGUUUCUGACGACCUAGCUUCCUUGCAAAGACUCAACUCAAUUCCAGAUCGGCGAAACCCAAUCCAGACUCGUAUUGCCAAACCGCUCCGCAAAGAUCGGAGCAUCGUGGCCUUUUUUUUUUUUCUCGUUGUGAAUGAUAGUGGACGAUGAAUAUGUCAUAAUUGGAUCUGCAAAUAUCGAUCAGCGAUCCAUGGAAGGUACCCGAGAUACUGAAAUAGCAAUGGGAGCAUAUCAGCCUCAUCAUACUUGGGCAAGAAAGCUCUCACGUCCACGGGGAAAGGUAAAUCGAUCAAAUGAUAUACCCUUGAGAAGAAUUUUAACCAAUAUGUUAAUUUGAAUUUGCUUGAAAUGUCUGAUUGCAGGUAUAUGGAUAUAGAAUGUCACUGUGGCAAGAGCACAUAGGACUUGUUGAAGAAUGUUUCAAGCAGCCAGAGAGUCUUGACUGUGUCCGAAGGGUAAGGACUCUGAGUGAGCAGAACUGGAGCCAAUACGUAGCUGAUGAAGUGACGGACAUGAACGGUCGUCACCUCCUGAGAUAUCCUAUUGAAGUUGAUCAAUUCGGAAAUGUGAUGGCUCUUUCCGGGUGUACAGACUUUCCAGACGUCAAUGGAUACAUAUUGGGGAGUCCCGGCGACAUAAGGAACAUUCUAGGGAUCAGAAGGUUUGUGCCGUGGGAAUUACCAUUCCCAUGGAAGAAGAGAGAAAAUGUCACCACCUGCUCUAUCAUGUGAUUUUGUUCAUUUCUUUUACCUUUGUUCAUAUAUUUGACCUCCUAUGUUUUUAUAUUAUGUUUUCUAAUCUUAACUUCUUAACUAUUCAUAUAUGUGUGUAGAAAUAUGUCAGUCGUGUAUUGAAGAUGUUUUAUUGUAAUAAUCAUUGAAUCGUGAGUUUCUUUUUCUUUUUCUUUCCUUCUUAAGGUGGGAUCUUCCAGCUCGGCCUAGCCCACUAAAAGCUCGAUUCGCUUAUCUUUCGCGAAAAUUAUACAGAUAACCACGCGCCCAAAUUUCGUCCAGCCCAAAUUUCUUGUUUUCUCCUCAUACUGAUAACCACGCGCCUAAGUCUUCGUCUUCCUCUUGCUCAUUUGGUACAGAAGACUUGGUCCAUUCUGGGGUUUCCAUUCUUCGAUCGAAAGGAGAUUAUAGAUAUAAGCAACUUGCCUAGUUGUACCUUGUUUUGCAUGCUAUUCAUUUCAACUACUCCCACUUGUUUUGUGUCUGUUAAUUGAACAAUGCUGCUUCUGGGUCUUCGUCUUCGUGUUCCAUUGCUAGUCCACUCUGACAGCUCAAGUGUUGUUCUUUGGAUUCCUUUAAUUAUAUUAAUGGUCUCAAGCUUAGCAUCUUCUGCAUUGUCAACACCCAUUACAUGUUUGGUGCCUAUCAUUUCAGUUUUGGCCAACUCUCUCUGGUUUUCCAGAACUCCACCAUAUCUGUGUACCACCCAUUUGAUAGCUUUACUUGCUUCAGUGUUGAGCAACAGGACAUUUUGGGGUCUAUGUGAACUGGGUUUUUGCACAUACCCCGAAAGUUUGGGCCUUUAUUGGAUUUCGGGUUAGUGUUGAAAUUGAAUUUCAUUGAGAUUUGUUUGCAAAUCUAGUAUUAGUUCAACUUCUUUGAAGAGGUUAGAGGUAUUCUUUGAUGGCCAAUCUGGGUUAUAAGGAAUCGCUGUCAUUUGGAGGCUCAGGCCAUGCGCAGGGGCAACAAGUUGUGCCAUUUGAGAGUGGUGCAUUGAAGCUUUUGCUACAUGGGGCCCUAGUUAUAUGUGUCAAUGAGGCCAAGAACCUUCCUGCCAUGGAGGGUUUGCAUAAGCAUAUGGGGCGUGUCAUUGCGAAAGUGCCUGGGAGAAGUAGCAAAACAACAACCAGUGCUCCCUAUGUUACAAUUGCACUGUCAGGUGCUGUAGUUGGGAGGACCUUUGUGAUUAGUA
rnacentral:lncRNA from 1 species